rnacentral:rRNA from 1 species
UACAGAGGUCUCAAGCGUUGUUCGGAUUCAUUGGGCGUAAAGGGUGUGUAGGUGGCGCCGUAAGUCGGGUGUGAAAUCCCGGGGCUCAACCCCGGAACUGCACUUGAUACUGCGGUGCUCGAGUACUGGAGAGGAGAUUGGAAUUUACGGUGUAGCAGUGAAAUGCGUAGAUAUCGUAAGGAAGACCAGUGGCGAAGGCGAAUCUCUGGACAGUUACUGACACUGAGGCACGAAGGCCAGGGGAGCAAACGGG